AUGAGAAGUAGUGUCAUUUCCUCAAUUAUGUGUGUGGAGAAGGGAAAAGUGUGGGUAGCUUUGAGAUUCGAUUCAAUCAUGAACAAUGAUUUGCAAGCAAACCCUCUUGUACCCAAAAUCACAAUGGUUGGCAUCUCAAUGAGCGAAGGGGGACAUAUGAGCAAAGCGAACCUAAUGAAAAUAAAGAAACAUAAAACAGUGACAUACAAUAUAAUACAUCAGCGGAAGAGGAGGCAUAUGAAGCUGGGAGAGGUGACGGGGAGCACGAGAAACUGCUCCCACUGCAAGAGAGAGAGCCAUACCAAUAGUGAGUUGUGGGCUUGUGGCGCUGGUCACGACCGCCGCAUCACCAACCAUGAUCGUCCAGGCUGUGGCAUGGGGGUCGUGCUUGCUGCUUGUGCGGCGAUCCCCCUAUCGUGA
rnacentral:rRNA from 1 species